AUUGAACGCUGGCGGCAGGCCUAACACAUGCAAGUCGAACGGUAACAGGAAGAAGCUUGCUUCUUUGCAGACGAGUGGCGGACGGGUGAGUAAUGUCUGGGAAACUGCCUGAUGGAGGGGGAUAACUACUGGAAACGGUAGCUAAUACCGCAUAACGUCGCAAGACCAAAGAGGGGGACCUUAGGGCCUCUUGCCAUCGGAUGUGCCCAGAUGGGAUUAGCUAGUUGGUGGGGUAACGGCUCACCAAGGCGACGAUCCCUAGCUGGUCUGAGAGGAUGACCAGCCACACUGGAACUGAGACGCGGUCCAGACUCCUACGGGAGGCAGCAGUGGGAAUAUUGCACAAUGGGCGCAAGCCUGAUGCAGCCAUGCCGCGUGUAUGAAGAAGGCCUUCGGGUUGUAAAGUACUUUCAGCGGGGAGGAAGGGAGUAAAGUUAAUACCUUUGCUCAUUGACGUUACCCGCAGAAGAAGCACCGGCUAACUCCGUGCCAGCCGCCGCAGUAA
rnacentral:rRNA from 1 species